rnacentral:rRNA from 1 species
UACGUAGGGGGCAAGCGUUGUUCGGAAUGACUGGGCGUAAAGGGUGCGUAGGCGGUGUAGCAAGUUAGAAGUGAAAUACCUAGAGCUUAACUCAGGUGCUGCUUCUAAAACUGCUAUACUUGAGUGCAGUAGAGGAAAGUGGAAUUCCUAGUGUAGCGGUGGAAUGCGUAGGUAUUAGGAGGAACAUCAGUGGCGAAGGCGACUUUCUGGACUGUAACUGACGCUGAGGCACGAAAGUGUGGGGAGCAAACAGG